rnacentral:rRNA from 1 species
GCUCCAUGCAGUCGAGCGGAUGAGUGGAGCUUGCUCCUGAUUCAGCGGCGGACGGGUGCGUAAUGCCUAGGAAUCUGCCUGGUAGUGGGGGAUAACGUUUCGAAAGGAACGCUAAUACCGCAUACGUCCUACGGGAGAAAGUGGGGGAUCUUCGGACCUCACGCUAUCAGAUGAGCCUAGGUCGGAUUAGCUAGUUGGUGGGGUAAUGGCCCACCAAGGCGACGAUCCGUAACUGGUCUGAGAGGAUGAUCAGUCACACUGGAACUGAGACACCGUCCAGACUCCUACGGGAGGCGGCGGUGGGGAAUAUUGGA